CAGUAGCCACGGUAAUACAGAGGAUGCAAGCGUUAUCCGGAAUGAUUGGGCGUAAAGCGUCUGUAGGUGGCUUUUCAAGUCCGCCGUCAAAUCCCAGGGCUCAACCCUGGACAGGCGGUGGAAACUACCAAGCUAGAGUACGGUAGGGGCAGAGGGAAUUUCCGGUGGAGCGGUGAAAUGCGUUGAGAUCGAAAAGAACACCAACGACGAAAGCACUCUGCUGGGUCGACACUGACACUGAGAGACGAAAGCUAGGGGAGCAAAUGGGAUUAGAUACCCCUGUAGUCCCUGUCUCUUAUAC
rnacentral:rRNA from 1 species